CCUUAGUACGAGAGGACCGGGAUGGACGGACCGCUGGUGUACCAGUUGCAUUACCAAGUGCAGAGCUGGGUAGCCAAGUCCGGAAAGGAUAAACGCUGAAGGCAUCUAAGCGUGAAGCCAACCUCAAGAUAAGAUAUCCCACUCCCCUGAGGAGUUAAGACCCCUUGAAGACUACGAGGUUGAUAGGCACCGAGUGUAAGUGUGGUAACACAUUCAGCUGAGGUGUACUAAUAGGUCGAGGGCUUAUUCA
rnacentral:rRNA from 1 species